ACCACAACGGGUGGAGCCUGCGGUUUAAUUGGACUCAACGCCGGGCAGCUCACCGGAUAAGACAGCUGGAUGAUAGCCGGGCUGAAGACUCUGCUUGACUAGCUGAGAGGAGGUGCAUGGCCGUCGUCAGUUCGUACUGUGAAGCAUCCUGUUAAGUCAGGCAACGAGCGAGACCCACGCCAACAGUUGCCAGCAUGUCCUCCGGGAUGAUGGGGACACUGUUGGGACCGCCUCUGCUAAAGAGGAGGAAGGAAUGGGCAACGGUAGGUCAGCAUGCCCCGAAUUAUCCGGGCUACACGCGGGCUACAAUGGUCAGGACAAUGGGUAUCGACACCGAGAGGUGGAGGCAAUCUCCUAAACCUGUCCUUAGUUCGGAUUGUGGGCUGCAACUCGCCCACAUGAAGCUGGAAUCCGUAGUAAUCGCGUUUCAAAAUAGCGCGGCGAAUAUGUCCCUGCUCCUU
rnacentral:rRNA from 1 species